rnacentral:rRNA from 1 species
GACGGAGGGGGCUAGCGUUGUUCGGAAUGACUGGGCGUAAAGGGCGUGUAGGCUGUCGAUCAAGUCAGGCGUGAAAGCCUUGGGCUUAACCUGAGAAUUGCGUUUGAUACUGGUUGACUUGAGGAUGGGAGAGGAAAGCGGAAUUCCGAGUGUAGAGGUGAAAUUCGUAGAUAUUCGGAGGAACAUCAGAGGCGAAGGAGGCUUUCUGGUCCAUAUAUGACUCUGAGGCGCGAAAGCGUGGGGAGCAAACAGG